rnacentral:rRNA from 1 species
UUAAGUUAUUAAGGGCGCACGGUGGAUGCCUUGGCACUAGAAGCCGAUGAAGGACGUUACUAACGACGAUAUGCUUUGGGGAGCUGUAAGUAAGCUUUGAUCCAGAGAUUUCCGAAUGGGGAAACCCAGCAUGAGUUAUGUCAUGUUAUCGAUAUGUGAAUACAUAGCAUAUCAGAAGGCACACCCGGAGAACUGAAACAUCUUAGUACCCGGAGGAAGAGAAAGAAAAUUCGAUUCCCUUAGUAGCGGCGAGCGAAACGGGAAGAGCCCAAACCAACAAGCUUGCUUGUUGGGGUUGUAGGACACUCUAUACGGAGUUACAAAGGACGACAUUAGACGAAUCAUCUGGAAAGAUGAAUCAAAGAAGGUAAUAAUCCUGUAGUCGAAAAUGUUGUCUCUCUUGAGUGGAUCCUGAGUACGACGGAGCACGUGAAAUUCCGUCGGAAUCUGGGAGGACCAUCUCCUAAGGCUAAAUACUCUCUAGUGACCGAUAGUGAACCAGUACCGUGAGGGAAAGGUGAAAAGCACCCCGGAAGGGGAGUGAAAUAGAACCUGAAACCGUGUGCUUACAAGUAGUCAGAGCCCGUUAAUGGGUGAUGGCGUGCCUUUUGUAGAAUGAACCGGCGAGUUACGAUUUGAUGCAAGGUUAAGCAGUAAAUGUGGAGCCGUAGCGAAAGCGAGUCUGAAUAGGGCGUUUAGUAUUUGGUCGUAGACCCGAAACCAGGUGAUCUACCCUUGGUCAGGUUGAAGUUCAGGUAACACUGAAUGGAGGACCGAACCGACUUACGUUGAAAAGUGAGCGGAUGAACUGAGGGUAGCGGAGAAAUUCCAAUCGAACCUGGAGAUAGCUGGUUCUCUCCGAAAUAGCUUUAGGGCUAGCCUCAAGUGAUGAUUAUUGGAGGUAGAGCACUGUUUGGACGAGGGGCCCCUCUCGGGUUACCGAAUUCAGACAAACUCCGAAUGCCAAUUAAUUUAACUUGGGAGUCAGAACAUGGGUGAUAAGGUCCGUGUUCGAAAGGGAAACAGCCCAGACCACCAGCUAAGGUCCCAAAAUAUAUGUUAAGUGGAAAAGGAUGUGGCGUUGCCCAGACAACUAGGAUGUUGGCUUAGAAGCAGCCAUCAUUUAAAGAGUGCGUAAUAGCUCACUAGUCGAGUGACACUGCGCCGAAAAUGUACCGGGGCUAAACAUAUUACCGAAGCUGUGGAUUGUCCUUUGGACAAUGGUAGGAGAGCGUUCUAAGGGCGUUGAAGCAUGAUCGUAAGGACAUGUGGAGCGCUUAGAAGUGAGAAUGCCGGUGUGAGUAGCGAAAGACGGGUGAGAAUCCCGUCCACCGAUUGACUAAGGUUUCCAGAGGAAGGCUCGUCCGCUCUGGGUUAGUCGGGUCCUAAGCUGAGGCCGACAGGCGUAGGCGAUGGAUAACAGGUUGAUAUUCCUGUACCACCUAUAAUCGUUUUAAUCGAUGGGGGGACGCAGUAGGAUAGGCGAAGCGUGCGAUUGGAUUGCACGUCUAAGCAGUAAGGCUGAGUAUUAGGCAAAUCCGGUACUCGUUAAGGCUGAGCUGUGAUGGGGAGAAGACAUUGUGUCUUCGAGUCGUUGAUUUCACACUGCCGAGAAAAGCCUCUAGAUAGAAAAUAGGUGCCCGUACCGCAAACCGACACAGGUAGUCAAGAUGAGAAUUCUAAGGUGAGCGAGCGAACUCUCGUUAAGGAACUCGGCAAAAUGACCCCGUAACUUCGGGAGAAGGGGUGCUCUUUAGGGUUAACGCCCAGAAGAGCCGCAGUGAAUAGGCCCAAGCGACUGUUUAUCAAAAACACAGGUCUCUGCUAAACCGUAAGGUGAUGUAUAGGGGCUGACGCCUGCCCGGUGCUGGAAGGUUAAGAGGAGUGGUUAGCUUCUGCGAAGCUACGAAUCGAAGCCCCAGUAAACGGCGGCCGUAACUAUAACGGUCCUAAGGUAGCGAAAUUCCUUGUCGGGUAAGUUCCGACCCGCACGAAAGGCGUAACGAUUUGGGCACUGUCUCAACGAGAGACUCGGUGAAAUCAUAGUACCUGUGAAGAUGCAGGUUACCCGCGACAGGACGGAAAGACCCCGUGGAGCUUUACUGUAGCCUGAUAUUGAAAUUCGGCACAGCUUGUACAGGAUAGGUAGGAGCCUUUGAAACGUGAGCGCUAGCUUACGUGGAGGCGCUGGUGGGAUACUACCCUAGCUGUGUUGGCUUUCUAACCCGCACCACUUAUCGUGGUGGGAGACAGUGUCAGGCGGGCAGUUUGACUGGGGCGGUCGCCUCCUAAAAGGUAACGGAGGCGCUCAAAGGUUCCCUCAGAAUGGUUGGAAAUCAUUCAUAGAGUGUAAAGGCAUAAGGGAGCUUGACUGCGAGACCUACAAGUCGAGCAGGGUCGAAAGACGGACUUAGUGAUCCGGUGGUUCCGCAUGGAAGGGCCAUCGCUCAACGGAUAAAAGCUACCCCGGGGAUAACAGGCUUAUCUCCCCCAAGAGUUCACAUCGACGGGGAGGUUUGGCACCUCGAUGUCGGCUCAUCGCAUCCUGGGGCUGUAGUCGGUCCCAAGGGUUGGGCUGUUCGCCCAUUAAAGCGGUACGCGAGCUGGGUUCAGAACGUCGUGAGACAGUUCGGUCCCUAUCCGUCGUGGGCGUAGGAAAUUUGAGA